rnacentral:rRNA from 1 species
UAACCGGCGAUUUCCGAAUGGGGAAACCCAGUGUGAUUCGUCACACUAUCAUUAACUGAAUCCAUAGGUUAAUGAGGCGAACCGGGGGAACUGAAACAUCUAAGUACCCCGAGGAAAAGAAAUCAACCGAGAUUCCCCCAGUAGCGGCGAGCGAACGGGGAGCAGCCCAGAGCCUGAAUCAGUGUGUGUGUUAGUGGAAGCGUCUGGAAAGGCGCGCGAUACAGGGUGACAGCCCCGUACACAAAAAUGCACAUAUUGUGAGCUCGAUGAGUAGGGCGGGACACGUGGUAUCCUGUCUGAAUAUGGGGGGCCCAUCCUCCAAGGCUAAAUACUCCUGACUGACCGAUAGUGAACCAGUACCGUGAGGGAAAGGCGAAAAGAACCCCGGCGAGGGGAGUGAAAAAGAACCUGAAACCGUGUACGUACAAGCAGUGGGAGCACGCUUAGGCGUGUGACUGCGUACCUUUUGUAUAAUGGGUCAGCGACUUAUAUUCUGUAGCAAGGUUAACCGAAUAGGGGAGCCGAAGGGAAACCGAGUCUUAACUGGGCGUUAAGUUGCAGGGUAUAGACCCGAAACCCGGUGAUCUAGCCAUGGGCAGGUUGAAGGUUGGGUAACACUAACUGGAGGACCGAACCGACUAAUGUUGAAAAAUUAGCGGAUGACUUGUGGCUGGGGGUGAAAGGCCAAUCAAACCGGGAGAUAGCUGGUUCUCCCCGAAAGCUAUUUAGGUAGCGCCUCGUGAAUUCAUCUCCGGGGGUAGAGCACUGUUUCGGCAAGGGGGUCAUCCCGACUUACCAACCCGAUGCAAACUGCGAAUACCGGAGAAUGUUAUCACGGGAGACACACGGCGGGUGCUAACGUCCGUCGUGAAGAGGGAAACAACCCAGACCGCCAGCUAAGGUCCCAAAGUCAUGGUUAAGUGGGAAACGAUGUGGGAAGGCCCAGACAGCCAGGAUGUUGGCUUAGAAGCAGCCAUCAUUUAAAGAAAGCGUAAUAGCUCACUGGUCGAGUCGGCCUGCGCGGAAGAUGUAACGGGGCUAAACCAUGCACCGAAGCUGCGGCAGCGACGCUUAUGCGUUGUUGGGUAGGGGAGCGUUCUGUAAGCCUGCGAAGGUGUGCUGUGAGGCAUGCUGGAGGUAUCAGAAGUGCGAAUGCUGACAUAAGUAACGAUAAAGCGGGUGAAAAGCCCGCUCGCCGGAAGACCAAGGGUUCCUGUCCAACGUUAAUCGGGGCAGGGUGAGUCGACCCCUAAGGCGAGGCCGAAAGGCGUAGUCGAUGGGAAACAGGUUAAUAUUCCUGUACUUGGUGUUACUGCGAAGGGGGGACGGAGAAGGCUAUGUUGGCCGGGCGACGGUUGUCCCGGUUUAAGCGUGUAGGCUGGUUUUCCAGGCAAAUCCGGAAAAUCAAGGCUGAGGCGUGAUGACGAGGCACUACGGUGCUGAAGCAACAAAUGCCCUGCUUCCAGGAAAAGCCUCUAAGCAUCAGGUAACAUCAAAUCGUACCCCAAACCGACACAGGUGGUCAGGUAGAGAAUACCAAGGCGCUUGAGAGAACUCGGGUGAAGGAACUAGGCAAAAUGGUGCCGUAACUUCGGGAGAAGGCACGCUGAUAUGUAGGUGAAGUCCCUUGCGGAUGGAGCUGAAAUCAGUCGAAGAUACCAGCUGGCUGCAACUGUUUAUUAAAAACACAGCACUGUGCAAACACGAAAGUGGACGUAUACGGUGUGACGCCUGCCCGGUGCCGGAAGGUUAAUUGAUGGGGUCAGCGCAAGCGAAGCUCUUGAUCGAAGCCCCGGUAAACGGCGGCCGUAACUAUAACGGUCCUAAGGUAGCGAAAUUCCUUGUCGGGUAAGUUCCGACCUGCACGAAUGGCGUAAUGAUGGCCAGGCUGUCUCCACCCGAGACUCAGUGAAAUUGAACUCGCUGUGAAGAUGCAGUGUACCCGCGGCAAGACGGAAAGACCCCGUGAACCUUUACUAUAGCUUGACACUGAACAUUGAGCCUUGAUGUGUAGGAUAGGUGGGAGGCUUUGAAGUGUGGACGCCAGUCUGCAUGGAGCCGGCCUUGAAAUACCACCCUUUAAUGUUUGAUGUUCUAACGUGGACCCGUGAUCCGGGUUGCGGACAGUGUCUGGUGGGUAGUUUGACUGGGGCGGUCUCCUCCUAAAGAGUAACGGAGGAGCACGAAGGUUGGCUAAUCCUGGUCGGACAUCAGGAGGUUAGUGCAAUGGCAUAAGCCAGCUUGACUGCGAGCGUGACGGCGCGAGCAGGUGCGAAAGCAGGUCAUAGUGAUCCGGUGGUUCUGAAUGGAAGGGCCAUCGCUCAACGGAUAAAAGGUACUCCGGGGAUAACAGGCUGAUACCGCCCAAGAGUUCAUAUCGACGGCGGUGUUUGGCACCUCGAUGUCGGCUCAUCACAUCCUGGGGCUGAAGUAGGUCCCAAGGGUAUGGCUGUUCGCCAUUUAAAGUGGUACGCGAGCUGGGUUUAGAACGUCGUGAGACAGUUCGGUCCCUAUCUGCCGUGGGCGCUGGAGAACUGAGGGGGGCUGCUCCUAGUACGAGAGGACCGGAGUGGACGCAUCACUGGUGUUCGGGUUGUCAUGCCAAUGGCACUGCCCGGUAGCUAAAUGCGGAAGAGAUAAGUGCUGAAAGCAUCUAAGCACGAAACUUGCCCCGAGAUGAGUUCUCCCUGACCCUUUAAGGGUCCUGAAGGAACGUUGAAGACGACGACGUUGAUAGGCCGGGUGUGUAAGCGCAGCGAUGCGUUGAGCUAACCGGUACUAAUGAACCGUGAGGCUUAACCUUACAACGCCGAAG